AUUGAACGCUGGCGGCAUGCUUUACACAUGCAAGUCGAACGGUAACAGGCCGCAAGGUGCUGACGAGUGGCGAACGGGUGAGUAAUGCAUCGGAACGUGCCCAGUCGUGGGGGAUAACUACUCGAAAGAGUAGCUAAUACCGCAUACGAUCUAUGGAUGAAAGCGGGGGACCGUAAGGCCUCGCGCGAUUGGAGCGGCCGAUGUCAGAUUAGGUAGUUGGUGGGGUAAAGGCUCACCAGGCCAACGAUCUGUAGCUGGUCCGAGAGGACAACCAGCCACACUGGGACUGAGACACGGCCCAGACUCCUACGGGAGGCAGCAGUGGGGAAUUUUGGACAAAGGGCGCAAGCCUGAUCCAGCAAUGCCGCGUGCAGGAAGAAGGCCUUCGGGUUGUAAACUGCUUUUGUACGGAACGAAACGGCUCUGGUUAAUACCCGGGGCUAAUGACGGUACCGUAAGAAUAAGCACCGGCUAACUACGUG
rnacentral:rRNA from 1 species